AUCCAGCCGACGAGUCCAAAAUAGGACGAAACACGCUUCCUGGAU
rnacentral:hammerhead_ribozyme from 1 species